GCCUUGAUGGUGUAGUGGUAGUAGCACGCUUUCCUGGUAUGGAUGGAACGCUGGGUUCGAUUCCCGCUUCAGGCC